rnacentral:rRNA from 1 species
ACGAACGCUGGCGGCGUGCUUAACACCUGCCAGUCGCACGGGGAAGCGCCUUCCUUUUUGGUGGGUGUGGGUGAGGGGCGAACGGGUGAGUAACACGUGAGGAACCUGCCCCCUUCUUCUGGAUAACCGCAUGAAAGUGUGGCUAAUACGGGAUAUUCUGGGUCUGUCGCAUGAUGGGUCUGGGGAAGAUAUUGUUUCGGUGGGGGAUGGGCUCGCGGCCUAUCAGCUUGUUGGUGGGGUGAUGGCCUACCAAGGCGGUGACGGGUAGCCGGCCUGAGAGGGUGGACGGUCACACUGGGACUGAGACACGGCCCAGACUCCUACGGGAGGCAGCAGUGGGGAAUAUUGCACAAUGGGCGCAAGCCUGAUGCAGCGACGCCGCGUGAGGGAUGGAGGCCUUCGGGUUGUGAACCUCUUUCGCCAGUGAAGCAGGCCUGCCUCGUUUGUGGGUGGGUUGACGGUAGCUGGAUAAGAAGCGCCGGCUAACUACGUG